rnacentral:rRNA from 1 species
GUCAAAUCAUCACUUGCCCCUUAUGGACCUGGGCUACACACGUGCUACGAAUGGUUGGUACAACGAGUUGCGAGUCGGUGACGGCGAGCUAAUCUCUUAAAGACCAAUCUCAGUUCGGAUUGUAGGCUGACAACUCGCCUACAUGAAGUCGGAAUCGCUAGUAAUCGCGGAUCAGCACGCCGCGGUGAAUACGUUCCCGGGCCUU